rnacentral:lncRNA from 1 species
UGCUGUAUUGCCAGAAAUGGAGAAUCAGGUUCUGUUGAAGAUACCACUGGCUCUCAGUCUCUGGCUGCCUUGCUGAAUAAGUGUAAAACCCCUCAAGGACAAAGACUUGUUAACCAGUGGAUUAAGCAGCCUCUCAUGGAUAAGAACAGAAUAGAGGAGAGUUGAAUUUAGUGGAAGCUUUUGUAGAAGAUGCAGAAUUGAGGCAGACUUUACAAGAAGAUUUACUUCGUCGAUUCCCAGAUCUUAACCGACUUGCCAAGAAGUUUCAAAGACAAGCAGCAAACUUACAAGAUUGUUACCGA